rnacentral:rRNA from 1 species
ACGAACGCUGGCGGCGUGGAUAAGACAUGCAAGUCGAACGAGAGAAUUGCUAGCUUGCUAAUAAUUCUCUAGUGGCGCACGGGUGAGUAACACGUGAGUAACCUGCCCCCGAGAGCGGGAUAGCCCUGGGAAACUGGGAUUAAUACCGCAUAGUAUCGAAAGAUUAAAGCAGCGAUGCGCUUGGGGAUGGGCUCGCGGCCUAUUAGUUAGUUGGUGAGGUAACGGCUCACCAAGGCGAUGACGGGUAGCCGGUCUGAGAGGAUGUCCGGCCACACUGGAACUGAGACACGGUCCAGACACCUACGGGUGGCAGCAGUCGAGAAUCAUUCACAAUGGGGGAAACCCUGAUGGUGCGACGCCGCGUGGGGGAAUGAAGGUCUUCGGAUUGUAAACCCCUGUCAUGUGGGAGCAAAUUAAAAAGAUAGUACCACAAGAGGAAGAGACGGCUAACUCUGUGCCAGCAGCCGCGGUAAUACAGAGGUCUCAAGCGUUGUUCGGAAUCACUGGGCGUAAAGCGUGCGUAGGCUGUUUCGUAAGUCGUGUGUGAAAGGCGCGGGCUCAACCCGCGGACGGCACAUGAUACUGCGAGACUAGAGUAAUGGAGGGGGAACCGGAAUUCUCGGUGUAGCAGUGAAAUGCGUAGAUAUCGAGAGGAACACUCGUGGCGAAGGCGGGUUCCUGGACAUUAACUGACGCUGAGGCACGAAGGCCAGGGGAGCGAAAGGGAUUAGAUACCCCUGUAGUCCUGGCAGUAAACGGUGCACGCUUGGUGUGCGGGGAAUCGACCCCCUGCGUGCCGGAGCUAACGCGUUAAGCGUGCCGCCUGGGGAGUACGGUCGCAAGAUUAAAACUCAAAGAAAUUGACGGGGACCCGCACAAGCGGUGGAGUAUGUGGCUUAAUUCGAUGCAACGCGAAGAACCUUACCUGGGCUUGACAUGUAAUGAACAACAUGUGAAAGCAUGCGACUCUUCGGAGGCGUUACACAGGUGCUGCAUGGCCGUCGUCAGCUCGUGUCGUGAGAUAUUUGGUUAAGUCCAGCAACGAGCGCAACCCCUGUUGCCAGUUACCAGCACGUGAAGGUGGGGACUCUGGCGAGACUGCCCAGAUCAACUGGGAGGAAGGUGGGGACGACGUCAGGUCAGUAUGGCCCUUAUGCCCAGGGCUGCACACGUACUACAAUGCCCAGUACAGAGGGGGCCGAAGCCGCGAGGCGGAGGAAAUCCUGAAAACUGGGCCCAGUUCGGACUGUAGGCUGCAACCCGCCUACACGAAGCCGGAAUCGCUAGUAAUGGCGCAUCAGCUACGGCGCCGUGAAUACGUUCCCGGGUCUUGUACACACCGCCCGUCACAUCAUGGAAGCCGGUCGCACCCGAAGUAUCUGAAGCCAACCGCAAGGAGGCAGGGUCCUAAGGUGAGACUGGUAACUGGGAUG